rnacentral:rRNA from 1 species
UACGUAGGGGGCAAGCGUUGUCCAGAUUUAUUGGGCGUAAAGAGCGUGUAGGCGGCUUGGUAGGUCCGCUGUGAAAACUCGAGGCUCAACCUCGAGAUGUCGGCGGAAACCACUUGGCUAGAGUCCGGAAGAGGAGAGUGGAAUUCCUGGUGUAGCGGUGAAAUGCGCAGAUAUCAGGAGGAACACCGGUGGCGAAGGCGGGUCUCUGGGCCGAUACUGACGCUGAGGUGCGAAAGCGUGGGGAGCAAACAGG